UCGGGUUGUAAAGCACUUUUGUCCGGAAAGAAAACCUCUGCCCUAAUAUGGCGGGGGGAUGACGGUACCGGAAGAAUAAGCACCGGCUAACUACGUGCCAGCAGCGCGGUAAUCGUAGGGUGCGAGCGUUAAUCGGAAUUACUGGGCGUAAAGCGUGCGCAGGCGGUUCGCUAAGACCGAUGUGAAAUCCCCGGGCUUAACCUGGGAACUGCAUUGGUGACUGGCGGGCUAGAGUAUGGCAGAGGGGGGUAGAAUUCCACGUGUAGCAGUGAAAUGCGUAGAGAUGUGGAGGAAUACCGAUGGCGAAGGCAGCCCCCUGGGCCAAUACUGACGCUCAUGCACGAAAGCGUGGGGAGCAAACAGGAUUAGAUACCCUGGUAGUCCACGCCCUAAACGAUGUCAACUAGUUGUUGGGGAUUCAUUUCCUUAGUAACGUAGCUAACGCGUGAAGUUGACCGCCUGGGGAGUACGGUCGCAAGAUUAAAACUCAAAGGAAUUGACGGGGACCCGCACAAGCGGUGGAUGAAUGUGGAUUAAUUCGAUGCAACGCGAAAAACCUUACCUACCCUUGACAUGGUCGGAACCCUGCUG
rnacentral:rRNA from 1 species